ACCGCAUGGUUAGUAGGCGGAGCUCCCCCGCGGAAUUUCUGUCCACACGUGGUGUCGUUUCACAUUCAUUUCUUCGCGCGGGCACGAAUGGAACACGGACAAAAUGGAGGACAACAGGGAACAAGCUACCAUGGAUGAGAAGCUUAUACUGAAGGGGAGAAAGUAGCGAUUAACGAAUGACUUCAGAGGAAUGCGAUCCCGCUGGCAGUGAAGCGUCAAAUCCAAGUUACCUGCGACUGGAGGCGAGGGGCUACACUGGACUGAAGAAAGGAUGGAAUACUGAUAAGCCGACGGCCAUAGGGGAAUCCAUGGUGUGACAGCAAGACAGUCUCCUAAUCAAAUGUUUUUGCUCUUGAUGAGGGUGAAAGGAACUUCCAGGAAACUGUUCAAGGAGGAUGUACUCUGCUGAGCUCACCAAGAUGAUGAGGUAUCGUCAUGGUAACCCCUGACCGGUCGUUGAUACUAAUACAGAGCGUGAGUUGAUGUACAGAAACCACACCAAACAAAUAUUGCUAAAUGUUUCAACAGUCUCGUCGCACAACAAACAUUAAACACAUUUGCAAGGUCUUUCAUCAAAAUCUUAUGUCGGUCUGCAAAUGGAUAAUUUAUUUUCCGGAGAAAAUCUGACAUCUUCACUCUUGUGUUACAUUUGCGAAUCGUUUACCAUUUCAUCUUUUUAUUAUCAGCCAGUUCAAAAAGCAAGGUUAACGCCUUACAAUUUGUAAUUUUAAAGAAACUUAAGAUUUUGGCCAAUUUUGACUUAAAAGCAAGGCUAAUCCAUUAUAAUUUGUAAAU